GAUGCUAUCUCUCACUCCAUGAUUGUGUCUGUCUAUCUCUCACUCCAUGAUUGUCUCUCUCUCUCUGACGCCUCUGCUCUCUCUUUCUGUCUCUCUUUACCUAAUUUCAAUCUCUAGGGUUUUCUCUGUCGGCGCUUACCACGGUGGUUCUCCGGCGUGAGCUAAGUUCAGAGGAAUCGGAAGAUGUUUUUUUCAAGCAGGUAAGGAUGUGGUGAUUCCGCCGAGUUGAAGGCAUGAAUAUAUUUUGUAAAGAGUAGAUAGCUUCUUUUUUUUUUUUUUUUUUUUUUUUUAUUUUUUUUUGUAGAUUUAAUUGCUAGCCAAGGGCUAUUCAUGUAUGGGCCCGAGAGGUCAUUUUUGUGUAACCAGGCUUAAGCCUUUGAAAUUGUAAGCCCAUGAGGGUAUUUUAUUAUUUUUGGAACGUGAUGCUCUACAUGUUAUAGAUUCAUGUAUUUUUUGUAUCAUUGAAUGUAUAAUUCGCAUGUGGAACUUUGGUAUAAAUCUAGUGAAUUAAUGGUGUAAUGGUUGGAGUAUUGCUAUUACAAUUUUAGCAGAUGUGAGUUGAUGUAUUA